CGUGACCAGAUUGCCCCUAACAAUUCUUUUAUUUACAUCAACUUCCUCACAGUGGUAAGUCCACCCACGUUGAGGUGCGAAGCGAGCAACCCCUUUUGUCUCCGUCGCUCUUGGUAAGGUUUGGUCCGAGGCCUGUGGAAUCCUCCGGUGGCAUCCCUCCGAUGGCGAAAUUGUUUUGGUUGGAAGCCGUUCUUCCACUGGGAAUCAUCGCCGGGAUGCUCUGCGUGAUGGGCAACGCGCAAUACUACAUCCACAGAGCCGCUCAUGGGAGGCCGAAGCAUAUCGGUAAUGAUGUUUGGGAUGUGGCGAUGGAGCGGAGGGACAAGAAGAUCGUGGAGCAAUACUCUGCGAAUUAGGAAGCAAUCAAACAAGCGGUGGUUACCCAUUGCUGAUAUCUAUUCAAGAAUAAAAAAAAUCUUUGUACUUAUGACCUUCCAUGUUCCAUAUCUCUGUUUUAUAACUUGGGGAUAUUCAGAAGAACCCUCGUCAAAUUUCAAGUGGAGAAAACAUUGGAAAUAAUUUGGAGAUUUGAAUGGUUUUCAAUAUGGUUUGCCACUCCGAGGGGAUGCUGGCAAUCCUGGUCGCUUGGGUAUUUGAUGCCAAGAUUAUAAUUUGAUCCAUCUAGACUAUUAUAUGAUCAAUUUUAUGAGUAUUUGAUGCCAAGAUUAUAAUUUCA